rnacentral:misc_RNA from 1 species
UUGCAAGUGGAAAAUGAAUUCUGCAACCGUAGAAGAAAAACUUGAAAUGAUUCUGAUUUAUGGUGAAUGUAGGAGGAAUGUUGACGAUGCUGUUGCCUUGUAUGCUGAGCGUUUUGCAGACAAUGUUCGCUCACGUUCUUUGUUUUACAAAGUUGUGACUGCCUUUAUCUCGGAUGGCAGCGUACAAACUAAAAAAAGAAAACGAAGAACAACUGUUACAGGAGAAGUUAAUGAAAUAGCUGUGCUAGCAGCUGUUCACCACAACCCACAGAUGAGUCUACAUUCACAAAUCAUGGUGGCGUUAAUCGACAUAACAUGCAUUACUGGAGUGUAGAAAAUCCCCACUGGUUAUGACAAGUUGAACAUCAACGUCCUUGGUCGGUUAACGUUUGGUGUGGAAUCAUAGGGAACAGACUCAUUGGUCCUUAUUUUAUUGAAGCAUGACGGUUGCCCAGCGCA